rnacentral:rRNA from 1 species
UACGGGGGGGGGCAAGCGUUGUUCGGAAUUACUGGGCGUAAAGGGUUCGUAGGUGGCCAACUAAGUCAGACGUGAAAUCCCUCAGCUUAACUGGGGAACUGCGUCUGAGACUGGAUGGCUUGAGUGCAGGAGAGGAACGCGGAAUUCCAGGUGUAGCGGUGAAAUGCGUAGAUAUCAGGAAGAACACCCGUGGCUAAGGCGGCUCUCUAGUACGGUACUGACGCUGAGACGCGAAAGCGUGGGGAGCGAACAGG